rfam:Rattus norvegicus chromosome 18, whole genome shotgun sequence.
GGGGAUUUAGCUCAGUGGCAGAGCACUUGCCUAGCAAGCGCAAGGCCCUGGGUUCGGUCCCCAGCUCCG